UACGUAGGGGGCUAGCGUUGUCCGGAAUCAUUGGGCGUAAAGCGCGUGUAGGCGGUCCGGUAAGUCCGCUGUGAAAGCCAGGGGCUCAACCCGUGGAUGCCGGUGGAUACUGUCGGGCUUGAGUACGGAAGAGGCGAGUGGAAUUCCUGGUGUAGCGGUGAAAUGCGCAGAUAUCAGGAGGAACACCAAUUGCGAAGGCAGCUCGCUGGGACGUUACUGACGCUGAGAUACGAAAGCGUGGGGAGCAAACAGG
rnacentral:rRNA from 1 species